UAGGGAAUCUUCCGCAAUGGGCGAAAGCCUGACGGAGCAACGCCGCGUGAGUGAUGAAGGUCUUCGGAUCGUAAAACUCUGUUAUUAGGGAAGAACAAAUGUGUAAGUAACUAUGCACGUCUUGACGGUACCUAAUCAGAAAGCCACGGCUAACUACGUGCCAGCAGCCGCGGUAAUACGUAGGUGGCAAGCGUUAUCCGGAAUUAUUGGGCGUAAAGCGCGCGUAGGCGGUUUUUUAAGUCUGAUGUGAAAGCCCACGGCUCAACCGUGGAGGGUCAUUGGAAACUGGAAAACUUGAGUGCAGAAGAGGAAAGUGGAAUUCCAUGUGUAGCGGUGAAAUGCGCGGGAUUAUGGAGAAACACCAGUGGCGAAGGCGACUUUCUGGUCUGUAACUGACGCUAAUGUGCGAAAGCGUGGGGAUCAAACAGG
rnacentral:rRNA from 1 species